rnacentral:lncRNA from 1 species
GAGGUCUGUCAGGUGAGGACCUAGCUCCCAAAGCCAGCGCUGAGUCUACAACUUCUCCUAAGAGGUGUUCCGGCCGGCGUUGGGGUCUCUGCGGAGGCGGCUAAAUCGGCCGCAGUUUCUGCCAUGGUUGCGCCCGCUGUGUUGCGCGCUCUGCGUAAGAACAAGACCCUUCGCUAUGGAGUUCCCAUGUUGUUGCUGGUUGUUGGUGGUUCUUUUGGUCUUCGCGAAUUUUCACAAAUCCGAUAUGAUGCUGUGACAAUUAAGAUUGAUCCUGAAUUGGAGAAAAAAUUGAAAGUGAAUAAAAUAACUUUAGAGUCAGAGUAUGAGGCGAUGGGAAUAUUUGGAGACUUAUGGAACGUUAUGGCUAUUGGAAAGCUCGCUUUUUCUGGGAGAUGCACCAUGCCACUGCAGCUCUUCUUAUAUCAAAUAUACGUUCAAAUGCAGAGUAUGCAGGCUUUCAGGAUGGAGUAUGUAACCCCAACUGGGGAGUAUUAUAUACACAUGUAGGAAAAAACCAUUAUUUUCUGGCUGCUUCUUUCCUGGCUCAUGCAGUGGGUCACAUUCUGAACGUAGGUCAUGA